rnacentral:rRNA from 1 species
UGCAAGUCGAACGGCAGCACAGGGUAGCUUGCUAUCCGGGUGGCGAGUGGCGGACGGGUGAGUAACGCGUAGGAAUCUACCUUUUCGUGGGGGAUAACCCGGGGAAACUCGGGCUAAUACCGCAUACGCCCUACGGGGGAAAGCGGGGGACCUUCGGGCCUCGCGCGGAACGAUGAGCCUGCGUCCUAUCAGGUAGUUGGUGAGGUAAUGGCUCACCAAGCCGACGACGGGUAGCUGGUCUGAGAGGACGACCAGCCACACUGGGACUGAGACACGGCCCAGACUCCUACGGGAGGCAGCAGUGGGGAAUAUUGGACAAUGGGGGAAACCCUGAUCCAGCAAUACCGCGUGUGUGAAGAAGGCCUUCGGGUUGUAAAGCACUUUUAGCAGGAAAGAAAGACUAUGCGCUAAUACCGCACGGUUUUGACGUUACUUGCAGAAAAAGCACCGGCUAACUCCGUGCCAGCAGCCGCGGUAAUACGGAGGGCGCAAGCGUUAAUCGGAAUUACUGGGCGUAAAGCGCGCGUAGGCGGCUUGUUAAGUCGGAUGUGAAAUCCCCGGGCUCAACCUGGGAACUGCAUUCGAUACUGGCUGGCUAGAGUGUGGUAGAGGGAAGUGGAAUUCCAGGUGUAGCGGUGAAAUGCGUAGAUAUCUGGGGGAACAUCAGUGGCGAAGGCGGCUUCCUGGACCAACACUGACG